rnacentral:rRNA from 1 species
ACUCCUACGGGAGGCAGCAGUGGGGAAUAUUGCACAAUGGGCGCAAGCCUGAUGCAGCCAUGCCGCGUGUGUGAAGAAGGCCUUCGGGUUGUAAAGCACUUUCAGUCGUGAGGAAGGUAGUGUAGUUAAUAGCUUGGCUAAAUUAUUUGACGUUAGCGACAGAAGAAGCACCGGCUAACUCCGUGCCAGCAGCCGGCGGUAAUAC